ACUUGAUGCUGUGCUCAUCUAAGGCCCCAAACCUCCAUUUCCCCAUUGCUAAAAUGGGGAUCUUGCCAGGGGGCUGCGAGAAUCGAAGGGGACAGCGGCAGAGAGCUCCAGGCUUGCCAGGGCGCCCAACAGGUCUCUCUGCAGACAAGCAUAAUGAAAAGCUGGAGGCCUCGCCUGUGGGGUUCUGUCCUCUGGGCCACAUGCAGCUAUGCCAAGCAGGGAUGAUGUGGGAGAGAAGAAAGGGAAGAAAUAGACUAUGCAGCACUUAAACCCCCAGCUCGCUCCUGGCUUGAUGCAGUGGGCUGUUCUCAGUAUAGACAGGGACUCUGGGACACUUGAUGGGCUGCUGCUGCUGUCAAUUCCUGCAGGGAUUUCACGAGCUGGAAGAACACAAGCCUGCAGCAAAGAAUCCCAUGCGAGUGGGAUUCUCAGGCGACUCUGCCUCCCCAGGAUGAUUUGGGAGAACAGGUCCGGGCUGCUUCAAAUGGUGGCCAGUCAGAGACAUGAAGUGGCUCCUCUCUACAGGGACAUCAGAGCUGAGAUCAGGGCAGCCCCAGGAUUCGAGAGAAGGGCAUCCUGGCAGCUCAGGCCCUGUGGCAAUGACCGUCGCGCUUAACCCUCCUAUGCAAUCAACUCAAACCCAGAACUCAAUAGCAACAACACUAUUUGCUUUCUGGACAGCCUCUUAAGAGGCUCUAAAUCAGUAGGUCUCCCACAAUUGAGCUGUGCAGCUUUUGAUAAAGGAAAUGACUUUUCUGAGCAUUGAUUUCUUCAUCAGUAAAGUGAAAAUAGCUUCACCCAUCUCUCCAAUAUUGGGAGAAUAAUGUAAAAUGCUGACCACCACUUCUGGCACAUUUGGUAAGUGCUCUAUCAAUGACAGCUGAUGCUCUUUUUUCCUCCUCCCCUCCAUUUCUUCUCGACUAAAGCUUUUGUCAAAGGUUAAUGUCUCCCCCAGAGGUGUGGGUUGUCACUGAUCUUGCUUCAACACUGGAAAAUCAAGGCCUCAUCACUGCUUACCCAGGGUCAAACAUCCAUGGUCAAGAUCAGGAUCCCAAGAAAUCUCAAAGCUCUACCCUGCACCCAGACCUCUUGGGCUUACAAUGCACCCUUUUCAAUGCCCAUAUUCUCUGCAGCAAAGAAACAAUGUGUGGACUCAGUUGUGCCCCCACGCUCCCUGUCCGCAGCUGCCCUUGCAGUGUCCUGCUGCUGGCUGUGGCCAGCUGACCCGUUGGGCUCUCCUCCUGACCCUCCUUCCAUCUGUUCCAUCCUCACCCACCCAAGGAGCCGCCCCUGCUCCUAGAGACUCUGGGCACCACUGAUAAGGGUGGGUACCAGGAACUCCACCCUUUACCGAGAAAGGCAGGCUGGUUUAUCGCCACUCAGACCCAGCCAGCGACCACCCUGGGGAGUGUGUCAGCCACCAGGAGCAUCGCUGUUGGGGAAAUGUUAUUAACUAGGAAGGAACUUUACAGAAUGUUCCACACAAAUGUCACAUUGAAUUCAAUCAGAAAUCCAGCCUGACCCCCCCUAAACCUGGUCAUUCCUUCUUAACCUUAAUGGCAGUGACAGAAGAAAGGGAGAGAGGAAUGGAGUCUUGGUUGUUUUUCUAUUUAACUUUGUGUAGGGAGUGCCCAGUGGUCAAUUAAGGUGUCCUGGGCACCCGGCCUGGCUGGAGUAAGGGAUGGCAAGUGCGGGGGUCUAUUUAGGGAGGUGAUCAGAGCCCGGAUCAGGCCCCACAGAGUUGGCACCAAUCUCCAUCAUGUUCUUUUUAAGAGGGUUGGCAGCCCUGGAGUCUAUUUUUAAACCCAUGAGAAAGGUGCUGUGUGGAUUCCAAAAAGGGCCAACAUUAAACCCGAGAUCCCUGGAGGAGGGAGGGAAGGGGGGAGGCACAGCUGAACCUAGGAUUUUCUCUUCACACACACAGGGGUUCCCCUUAUUCCUGGGAUCAGAUAUUGACUGUCCUUCCAAAGGGAUCUCUUGGGUUACAGGCCCACUCUUUGGCAUGGCUUUGGUGGAAUUCGACUCCUAACGAGCUCGUGAGUUGGAAAGGGUUUUGCACACCGGGUCUCUUUUUCAGAAUUGAGAUUUUUUUAAAUCCCUCUACCCCCAGUGUGAAAACUCCAUGUGCUUUUGAUAUAUCCGGCAUCUCCCCCUUCUUCCUACUUUCAAAUCACAUGUUCUGGAACCCCCGCUCCCUCCUGCAUGCACUGCAGAGCCCACAGCCGAGAAUCUACAACAGGAAGAUCCAAGGAAAGUCUAAGUUCCCCACGGCCACGGUGCCCAGCUCCCCAGAAACCCAGUCCCGGUGCUGGAGAAGGAUGGGGAGUGGACCCAAGUGGCAAGCCUGCGGGGGACAGGAUUAUUUUCCCAAUAGUGAGAAAUAAACAGGCAUCCAAACGCCACUGUUUCCCAUCAAAUAACCAGAUGAAGCGAACAGAAUGUUUUAUGUACAAUAACAAAUUUCAGCUUCAGUAUCUGUGUCUCUUUUUGGAUAAGAAAUAGAACCAGAAUUCCUAAAGAACAAAAUGCCUUGAGAUUAAGCAAAUGCUUCUGCUGAAUAGUUCUGGGACCACCCAGGACCCCCUGGGCAGGGAAGUAGGAGACGAGGUCUCUUCUCAUCUCCGCUCAACUCAGAAUCCCCAAGCCUAGCACAGAAGCACCACUCAAUACAUGUUUCCUGAGCAGAACAUGAUGCAGUUUUGUGCCCCAUGUCAACCAGGUAGGAGCUCCCACCAGUCAUGCUGAAAACAACAGACAUGAGUUUAAGCACAAUGCUGGCCGCACAACAGAGGCUCCAUAAACGUUAGCUGGAUUGGAAUCCAGUCAACUCAGAUUUCUAAAUGAAUCAGAUGUUCGGGGCUAGUUGACUAAAUUGUCAAUGUCCCCACGUGCUAUUAUAGCCCCUGUAGAAACAGCCUGGGGACCACUGUCCUCUUCUGGGCAGGGAAGUUUCAGGUGCUUCCCAUCCCAGGGCCAGGGCCGUGCUGCAGAAAAAAGCCUCCACACCCCAACCUGCCCUGCCCAUCCUUUCCCCACAAUCUCCAUUAGUCCUAAAUUGCCAGUCCAAGCCCAAGAGAGCAAUUGUUUCCUCAGUCCCAAGGCAGCGAAGCAGACAGCUCUUCAAUAGUUCACAUCUUUCUGCUGAGGGUGGGAAGAUAUUGGGGUGUCUUGUGGGUGCCUAAAUAGAAUUCCAAGUGCACCCGCAUCACCAAGCACCCUGGCCCACGCCGCAGAGCAUGCCACAUUUCCCCACUGCGCAAGGAAUGGGCUGCAUUUAGAAUUGACACUUCAGAACAUAUUGUGGACUGGGGAGCCGAGACUAGAGUGGAAUUACACACAUUUUGGAAAAUGUGGAUGAGCGGCACUGCCAGAAUGGGCCCAUUUACUAAACUACCUCCAGUGUUUCCAAACAUUAGGGAAACCUUCCUCUGCGGCCUGCUGGUAUGCGAGGAGGAGGAGCACAUACUGGAGAAAAUGCAAAAUCAAAAUCAUUGGGAAGGUGCUAAUAGGGAAAAUAGGGACUCUUCUUUUUUUUUUCAAGUUGCCAAACAGGCUUAAGUACUGGCAGUGAACCCCAUGGCUCCAGAGUUUCUGAAGGAUGCCCAGGCGUUGGACAGCCCUGCAUGGCACGCUCUUCCUCAGCAAUGAAGAAAGAUUCCCACCCUUCCUUAGAAAUGCAACUUUGCCUGAUAUAAGCUGCCAUCUGGAGCAGGCGGGGCCGACCAGGGGGUACCCUGAGACUCCUCCUUUAUUUGAACAAUUUGCCCCAAGGGACAGAGCCAGGAUGGGUGGCCCAUUGCCAGCCAGAGAGACCUGCCCAAGAUUCCAGAGGGGCUUGUGACCCUGAAAUUUGGGGUCUGUGCCCCUGGAGUUUGUCCAGCCUCUGGAGCAAGGCUUCCCUUACAUGGAGAAGGUAGCCUUGAACCAUCCAUUGGGAACUAGGCCUGGAAGGCCCCGUCCACACCCUCUAGCCCAUGAUGAUUCACCGCAGAGACAAUGAGAUACAGAAGUGAGAGCAGGAAGGGGGAACUGAUUUGAAGAUAAUAAUAAUAAAGCUACAGUUAGCAGGGCAUGGUGGCUUAUGCCUGUAAUCCCAGCACUUUGGGAGGUUGAGGCAAGAAUAUCACUUGAGGCCAGGAAUUUGAGACCAGCCUGGGCAACAUAGCAAGAUCUCUGUUUCUCCAUACACACAAAAAAUUAAAAUUAGCCAUACAUGGUGGUGCGCACCUGUAGUCCCAGCUACCCGGGAGGCUGAGGUGGGAGAAUCGCUUGAGGCCAGAAGUUCAAGGCUGCAGUGAGCUAUGAUCCUGCCAUGGCACUCUAGCCUGGGCAAAAGAGUGAGACCUUAUUUCUAAUAAUAACAAUAAUAAUAGCUACAAUGUGUGAGCCAGGUAUUGUUCAAAGCAUGUUAGAUGUUAACACAUUUAACCCUCAAAACCACCCUACGAGUUAACAGCUAUUAUUAUUCCCAUUUGACAGAAGCAGCUAAGGCACAAAAACAUUAAGUCAUUUGUCCAAAGUCCUCCAGGAGUAACAUGAUGCCUGAUGCCUGGGGUGGUGCAUGAAACACAGUAAAGGGGCUGGCCCUGGGCUUUGCACCAUUCUGCAACCUAAGGUAUUUUUAGGGUAGAGGGGAAAACUGAAAUUCAAUAUUCUCCAGUAAGAGUUGCUCAGUCUUGGAAAUUUAGGUGCAACCGGGGCAUCUUUAAUAAUGUGGCCAUUCUCUCUAUUCAGAAAAAAUGCCAGCCACCAAUCACUAUCACAUUCAAUGCAGAAAUGUGAGGUAUCUGUUUCCAUGAACUAGGCCCUCCAGGGUUUAAUGAGCGGGGAUCUGUCCUUUCCAAGAGCCAUGGAGAAAUGGGGAGGCCUUGAAUCAAUAAUCCCAGUCCACUCCAAUCGAGUUCUCUAGAAUUACAACAGUAACAUCGUCAUGUAACCUCCAUUGCACACUUCUGAACCAAGAGAAAGAAGCUCCAGGGAGCUGGUGCUACGUCUUCCCGGCUGGCCCACAAUGAUCCUAGACUCCAAGAAAGGAUAAUGAGGUAGACCAAGCCCAGGGGACCCUCUGCUGUGAAACCCACUUCUUCGCCUUCAUUGGGGCCCUGCUGAUAAGGGGUGGCUUCCACUGGCUAAAUGCUGACUGCAGAGGUUUCCUCUCUCUUCCCAGAGCCAAAACAUUGCAAUUAAACCCAAUUAAACUACUAACUGGCCUACCUAUGCCUCUUUAAUUUUUCCAUUUGUACAACUUAACAACAGGAAGACAGGAUCCUUCCUCCAAGAUGCACUUAAGCUCCUUUCAACGGGGUGCUUAGCAGCUACCACUCGAAAACACCUUGGCGUCAGCCCUCGACUUCCUAGUCCUGUUUUCUCUUUACUACCAAGGAAACAAGAGCAGGUGUCACACAUAAUACUUCACACAGGGCUCAUCGUAUUAUUUUAAUAAUUGAAGGGAACCAUUUUCUUUCUGUUUAAUCCUCUUAUGAAUUCUGGCUGGCUGCUCUUUCAGAUAUCUUUUCAUACAGUAUUUAUAUCACCCUUUUUGUAACUAUUUAAAUUUAAAAGGUGAGGAAAUAAGCUCUAAACUGUCAACCCUCAGCUGCAUUUCUUUCUACGUUGCUUAUCUGCAGAAAACUCUGCCCAUCCCAGGGGAAUCCUAAGGUAUGUCUCUAAUCUGGGUAUUUCUUAUCUGCACAAUAUUGAAGGGUGUCUAGGGGGCCCCCUCUUAAAGCCUUGGCUUCAUGUCUUUUUAAAGAAAUAUGGCUGGGUGCAGUGGCUCACACCUGUAAUCCCA
rnacentral:lncRNA from 1 species